UCACAGGCUUUGAAAGCCACACUCAUUUUAUCAAAAAUUAAAU
rfam:Pelecanus crispus contig3318, whole genome shotgun sequence.